CAAGUACUCCCUCUGUCCCAAAAUUCUUGUCUUAGAUUUGUCUAGAUACGGAUGUACCUAAUACUAAAACGUGACUUGAUACAUUCGUAUUUGGACAAAUUUAAGACAAAAAUUUUGGGACGAAGGAAGUAUAAU
rnacentral:pre_miRNA from 1 species